AGAGCCGGGCCCCUGAAGGGACGGAGAGCUCCGGUGGCUGUGGAGCCUUUGUUCACCUGUUCUCCAGGGCAGCCCAUCGGAAGUGUCUCCUCUUAUUCCCGGCUAGAGACGUCCAGAGGACAAUCAGCUUCAGAUCAUACCAUCGGUAAGGUAGGUGCAACUGGGGCCUGACACACUUCAUCUCAGAAGCAAUCCAUGCUGUAAAAAAAAAAAGAAAAAGAAAAAAGUACACGAACCGCCCCCAGUGCUUUCUGGCCUCCUCCUGUGUGCAGAGCAAAUGCUCAAAGGAAGAGACACAAGGAACUCCCCAUCCCCCUUGUUGCCAAGAUAUCCCAGAUAUCUUUGUCAGUCUGUUGCAAGGAGAAGGAACCGCGCUCUGGAAGAAACCGAAUGACCCCGUAAGACACAGACUGGAGAUUUUGCACAUGGAAGAAGAAGAGAGUUGUGGAAAAUUCUAGAAACACGCCUAGCGUUAGUUACAUUUGGACUCUCUACAAUGCAUCAGGCACUUUCUAAAUGGCAUCAUGUGGCAAACGUUGCAUUGCCCUCCGUCUGGCAGCCACGAAGGACUUUGAGGUCGUUUUCCUCUGCUUGGUUGAAAACCCGAGGGAAACCAGAUGACAAUUCAGGUGUGAUGUAUGGCGCCUCCGUGUCGUCCUGUCAUAGCUUCCGCCUCCCCACGCGGAGGGAGGCCACAAAGACAAAGCUGAGACAUUAUGGCUAUUCCAGAAAAUAAAAUAUUUUUGAAACCGCACGGCGUAGAUACAGAUCUUUGUGUCAUUGUGGUAACACAAGUGUGGCAACCGUGCCCGCCAGCACGGUAGCGCUUGGGACACGCAGAGAGAGGGUUCAGUGUCCCUGCAGACGGGCCAGGGCAGGAAGGCGUUGAUCACAUGAGGCUGGCAUCGUCUAGUCUCUGCGUGCUUUGCAGAAUGAGACACCUCCCGAGUGCUUCUGAUAGGUGUGAAAGGGUGUUGUUUCUAUUAAAACAACCAGGAUGAAAAAGCAACGGCAGACACUUGGUUUUGAAUUUAACACCAGAGCUCUUCUGAGGUCAUCUUCCUAAAUGAGGUCAGGUUUCCCCCGUAUCUCAGGAGGGUUCAGGAAGCCCCUCACCUCUGGGCCUACAGAACCACGCAGGCCCACUGCCCUCAGUUUUCACGGGGCGAGUGCCUGAUUUCUGAGCUGCCCCUCUAGGGGACACAUCCCCCCCAUUAGACGCAAAGCAGGCCCUCAACGCGACCCAGAACAGGACGGAAACACAUAACAAGUGCAAUUAUAAUUGGGUGAGGAAAAAAAAAAACUAACGCUUCUGCUUAGAAUGCAUUCAUUUUACUUUUAAUCCAGAGAAGGAAAAUAUGGGAAAAGCUGGGCUAAGAGCUACUUUCUGUAUCUACACCCAUUCCCAACACAAGGAUCCAGUGCUGGGAGGGGCUGGGUGGGGGCAUCAUGUUCCCUUUGGAAAGGGGGCUUCCUUGAUGUGGAGCAUGGCUCAUGGAAGGCAGCAGGUGACGUGGUCAUGAAGUGGCUGCCUCAGUGGUCACCUGGGGGAUUUGUCAGGGGCUGAGCCUGGGGGAUUUGUCAGGGGCUGAGCGCCCAGGCGCGGGGAGGAAAGGAGUCCUGACAUAGCCAGCCCGGCCCCCAUGUUUUGGGAUGUGCCCUACAAGACCCCCCGGGAGGCCUAAACGUGGAGAAUCCUGAGUGGUGCCAGACAUGUCAUGACCCUAAUGAGUUUC
rnacentral:lncRNA from 12 species